AUACAUGCAAGUCGUACGCUUCUUUUUCCACCGGAGCUUGCUCCACCGGAAAAAGAAGAGUGGCGAACGGGUGAGUAACACGUGGGUAACCUGCCCAUCAGAAGGGGAUAACACUUGGAAACAGGUGCUAAUACCGUAUAACAAUCGAAACCGCAUGGUUUUGAUUUGAAAGGCGCUUUCGGGUGUCGCUGAUGGAUGGACCCGCGGUGCAUUAGCUAGUUGGUGAGGUAACGGCUCACCAAGGCCACGAUGCAUAGCCGACCUGAGAGGGUGAUCGGCCACAUUGGGACUGAGACACGGCCCAAACUCCUACGGGAGGCAGCAGUAGGGAAUCUUCGGCAAUGGACGAAAGUCUGACCGAGCAACGCCGCGUGAGUGAAGAAGGUUUUCGGAUCGUAAAACUCUGUUGUUAGAGAAGAACAAGGAUGAGAGUAACUGUUCAUCCCUUGACGGUAUCUAACCAGAAAGCCACGGCUAACUACGUGCCAGCAGCCGCGGUAAUACGUAGGUGGCAAGCGUUGUCCGGAUUUAUUGGGCGUAAAGCGAGCGCAGGCGGUUUCUUAAGUCUGAUGUGAAAGCCCCCGGCUCAACCGGGGAGGGUCAUUGGAAACUGGGAGACUUGAGUGCAGAAGAGGAGAGUGGAAUUCCAUGUGUAGCGGUGAAAUGCGUAGAUAUAUGGAGGAACACCAGUGGCGAAGGCGGCUCUCUGGUCUGUAACUGACGCUGAGGCUCGAAAGCGUGGGGAGCAAACAGGAUUAGAUACCCUGGUAGUCCACGCCGUAAACGAUGAGUGCUAAGUGUUGGAGGGUUUCCGCCCUUCAGUGCUGCAGCUAACGCAUUAAGCACUCCGCCUGGGGAGUACGACCGCAAGGUUGAAACUCAAAGGAAUUGACGGGGGCCCGCACAAGCGGUGGAGCAUGUGGUUUAAUUCGAAGCAACGCGAAGAACCUUACCAGGUCUUGACAUCCUUUGACCACUCUAGAGAUAGAGCUUCCCCUUCGGGGGCAAAGUGACAGGUGGUGCAUGGUUGUCGUCAGCUCGUGUCGUGAGAUGUUGGGUUAAGUCCCGCAACGAGCGCAACCCUUAUUGUUAGUUGCCAUCAUUUAGUUGGGCACUCUAGCAAGACUGCCGGUGACAAACCGGAGGAAGGUGGGGAUGACGUCAAAUCAUCAUGCCCCUUAUGACCUGGGCUACACACGUGCUACAAUGGGAAGUACAACGAGUCGCGAAGUCGCGAGGCUAAGCUAAUCUCUUAAAGCUUCUCUCAGUUCGGAUUGUAGGCUGCAACUCGCCUACAUGAAGCCGGAAUCGCUAGUAAUCGCGGAUCAGCACGCCGCGGUGAAUACGUUCCCGGGCCUUGUACACACCGCCCGUCACACCACGAGAGUUUGUAACACCCGAAGUCGGUGAGGUAACCUUUUGGAGCCA
rnacentral:rRNA from 1 species